UUCCCCUGACCCGGUACACACUAGUGCACCCAACCCUCCAGCAGUAGUAGCUGCAAACCUAAUGAAGAAAAGAAAGAAAGGGGAAGCAGGGGAGGGGUUCCAUGGAAGUAGAGUGAGGGAGAAAGAGGAAAGGCAGCGCGGUGGGUGUCACUGCCACCGUCGCCGCCAUUGCCGUCCGUCCAUGGAGCCUUGUGUCGGGGCGGAGGAGAGGAGGAGGGAGCUUGCCGUCGCGUCACCACGUCGCCAUCGAGCUCGCUGCCGGCGAGCACGAAGAGAGAGAUCGGAUAGAGAAAGAGAGAGAGAGAGAGAAGACUUACGAGGGAGUCACCGCAGGAAGGAGUUCGCCGCCGCGUCCCGUUGCCUGCGCCGCCGUCAUUCAUCCUCCCUGCUGUCCGACGCCGUCGCCGUUCGCGAAGAAGAGAGGGAGCUCGCGUUGCCAUUAGAUCCGCCGUUCCUCACUGUUUCUGUCGCCGCCGUCAGUGCCUUGCUGCUGCCGCCGCUGCCGCGGGGAGCUACGCCUCUAUGUUUCUGGCCACCGGAAAACCUCGUCGCCGUCGCCGAAAAAACUCUGCCGUUUCAGCUAUCGUCGCCGGAGAUCUAGUCGCCGCCGCCACUAGAGGUGGUUACCGGGGAUGCUGCUAAGCCGGUUCAAUGAACGCUGCUGGGACUAAUUUGAUUAAAAAAAUCAUUCGGAGACGAAAAUGAAGAUCGCGUAAUCUUUCGGGGAUGAAUUUGAGUAUUUAUAUGCUACGUGUACAUAUUUAGACAAAUUUUG